AAACCGAAUAAAAGGGCCCGCGCCCAUUUGCUAUUAAAAAUAUAUAUAUUUUAAGAAUCCUCUCAGGAAUUCCCUUUUCUUCCCGUUCCGAGAUCAUUGUCCCUUCUUCUCCUGCUCUGCGAUCUUUGCAGAGCGGAGAGAUUGCUUCAAUACUCUUAGCAAUCUUCUAAUUGGAGGGGUUCCAUGUCGUGUUACGGUGACUCGCACCAAAUUUAUGUACCCUUUGACCCAAUCUUUGCUCCAAUUCAUCAAGGUUAGGGUUUUUCUAAGCCCUACCUAGGGUUUUCGUGAUCGAUCACAGGAUCACCUUAUCUCUCUUAAUUCUCCCCGUUUUGUAGCCCUAUCCGGCUCCUGGGAUCUCCGAAUUAGGCCUCUCCUGGUUUGGAUUCCAUGGCUUUUCAUCGCCCGGGCCCGGGCUCGGCGUCGGGAUCGGCGUCGAGCUCGAGCUCCGGGCUCCACUUCUUGAAAUCCCCCUUCGGGGAUACGACCUACACGAAGGUCUUCGUUGGGGGGCUGGCUUGGGAGACCAAAAGCGAGACGUUGCGCCGCCACUUCGAGCAGUUUGGCGAGAUCCUCGAGGCCGUCGUGAUUACUGACAAGAACACCGGGAGGUCGAAGGGCUACGGUUUUGUGACCUUUCGUGACCCAGAAUCUGCAAGAAGGGCAUGCGCCGACCCAAGCCCGGUUAUAGAUGGCAGACGGGCGAAUUGUAACUUGGCUUCGCUGGGGCGGCCUCAGCCUGUACCAACUUUUGCACGCCCAAGGUCAGUAGGCCCCUACCUUGGAGGUGUUCCAGCUACACGUGGAACAUACGUCGGAAGUUCUGCUCAUCACCAACCAAUUCCCUUUGGCUACCAUCAUGGGUAUUCAUACCCACCAUAUGCUUACACUACAUAUGGAUCCGAAUACAUCUAUCCACAGAAUGUCUACAGUCCUUAUAUGGGGCAGCAAUACGUUCAGAUUUAUGGUGUUCCUGGAGCUGUAAACACAGCUGUCUACCCAUUUGGGCAAUUGGGCCAGCCUAUCCCUGGUGGGCAUGGUUAUACAGCAAUUCAGGGCCACACAAUGCCAGGCCAUCAUUUCGUGCAAUUCAGUGGGCCAAAUGUCAAUGGAGUAACAUCUGCACCGCGACCCACAAUUCAAGCUCCCUAUCCAGCAGGUGUAGCAGCACCAAUCCCAGCUCCACCACACUUGUUAGUUCCUGCUUAUUCUCCACAGUUUAUGCCGGGCAGUGGUUCAGGCCAAACAGCAAGCUGAAAUGCACAUCAGGGUGAUAACAUCUUGAGGAGGUAUCCUUAGAUUGCUGCAGGACCAAGAACAGCAGUACUGCUAUGUCAGUCGCAUGCAUUCUUGCCUUGCAAGCUAUCAUCUUUGCAUUCUAGAGGUUUUUCCUAGUCAUGGUCACCAGAGACACCACAAAGUCAUCCAGGGGCUCCAACUGAUGGAGCUGAAAGCAUGAGAGCUCGGAUUGCUCAUCACGCUGCAGUCAAGUGUCUGUAAAUUUUCAUGCCCUGCUGGAGUUUGCGAUGACCGGCAGAGCAGGAUUGGAUCCCAAAAUUGGAUUCAACAACUUGAUAGGAUAGAUUUUGGAUUUCGGAAUUGGAGUCCGACAAUCCAUAGGAAGUAUAUAGUGUAAGGUUACAAUGGAAUCAAAAUGAUUCUAUGAAAUUUUAAAGCUUGCAUCUAGUUGUACCAUGUCCUGUUGUGGUUCCUGGGUAAACUAGUCGUUCAUUGUAGUAAAGCAUGAUCUCAUAGAAGGAUACCAGUGGCUGUCACUGGAUUCUGUCAUUAGCUAGUUAUUCUAAACUGAAAUAAAGGGUCUGAAAACUUCAUACUGGCUCAUUGGUUGCAUAUUCAGUAUUCUUGAUCAUCGUCCCCCAUUUCUCCCAAUCUCAAGUUGUGCUGUUAUGAUCUGGGAAGCUGUGUUAUCUCUGAUUUGUUUGGUCUUGUCUUGACACGUUGGAUAGCUUCAACCAAAUGGACUCCUGUAAGUUUUAUCAGUAGUCCCCUGAAGCUACUGCUGCUAUCAACACUGAGUCGUCUCGAGCUGUUACCAUGUGAGCAUGAGCAACUGGAAAUCCAGAUAUUUUUCUAUGCACAACACUGAUCACUUACAAGGUGCAGCGAGAGAGAAUGGGCUGAUUCCAGGCUGCUGGUGACUAGCAAUAUGUCAAUGCUCAGCCUGAACAGAAUCUGCUUGAGGGCUGUCAGCUGGUUAAGAACCGUAUCAGUGGUCAGCAGUGAAAUCUAAUAUGCCUUCCUACCUUGGAAUAGCUGGCUAUGAAUGGACUGUGCGGUGGAACGUCGAUCAGGUCAACGGACUCUGCUUGAGGUCCGUCAUCGCACCUUUUGUCAUCACCAGGAUCUCUUUCCUCUCAUUUCUCUCUUGUUCCUAAGUGCAUACAAUAUUUUGGUGCAAUGAAAAAUAUCAAUCAGGUCAA